AUGAAAGAUGUCUUCCCAUCUCAGGUGAUGAAGAUGGCGUACCUUUAUUUUUUGACACAAGUACUGAUCGGUGUUGGAUUUGGGCUUUAUAAACUUGGCUUUCCAGUAGUAGACAAGUGUGUGGAAAUUGGACUUCCAGAACUCAUCCUAAUGGUCGCAUUUUCUCAGGUACUUCAAGUCAAACUGUACAUGCAAUUGAUGGGGCUACAUGAUAGUCACUUUAAUAUAUCUUCUUGGAAGCCGCUUAGUGUUUCCAUGAAUAAUUGUCGCUGGUCUGUUGCACGCCUUCAUUGUUUGGUGGGCUACUUCCUGCUUGAUGUGGUUGAAGAAUUUUUAGAGACAUGGUUCAUCUUGCGUGCAGCUUUUAGUUUGAGUUUCUAUUGA
rnacentral:rRNA from 1 species